AACGAACGCUGGCGGCAUGCCUAACACAUGCAAGUCGAACGAGACCUUCGGGUCUAGUGGCGCACGGGUGCGUAACGCGUGGGAAUCUGCCCUUGGGUUCGGAAUAACAGUUGGAAACGACUGCUAAUACCGGAUGAUGACGUAAGUCCAAAGAUUUAUCGCCCAAGGAUGAGCCCGCGUAGGAUUAGCUAGUUGGUGAGGUAAAGGCUCACCAAGGCAACGAUCCUUAGCUGGUCUGAGAGGAUGAUCAGCCACACUGGGACUGAGACACGGCCCAGACUCCUACGGGAGGCAGCAGUGGGGAAUAUUGGACAAUGGGCGAAAGCCUGAUCCAGCAAUGCCGCGUGAGUGAUGAAGGCCUUAGGGUUGUAAAGCUCUUUUACCCGGGAUGAUAAUGACAGUACCGGGAGAAUAAGCUCCGGCUAACUCCGUG
rnacentral:rRNA from 1 species